GUGUCACGGGCCGAAGGAAGUCAGCUGUGGGGUAGAUUUGUACGAGAUCGCUGGACCCUAAGGAACCCAGAAAAUGCAAGCAAGAUGACUAAAUGACUAGCACCAGUCUAUUUGGGAACUAAGGAAUCAAAAGAAGAGGAGAAAGGUACUAUUUUUCAUUUCCCCCAAACCCUCACAAGGACAAUAAUGUUUGUGUGUAUAUGCAUGGGUGUAUUUGUGUUUACACAAAAAGGGGUAAAAAUGUAAAGCAUUAAUAAAUAUAAGUGCUGCUAAACUGUUAGAAUACCAGUUAGAGGAGCUAAUAAAGCAAUAUUCAAAGAUUGAGGACUUUUAGGUGGUCAUUAGAAUGAGCCGAUGAAAUUGCGAAGUUCAUGUAGCUAAACAUAAGAUGGCAAAAUGUUGGGAUUUUUAUUAUAAAAAAAGCAGCAAACAUGAAAAUCUUUUAUCAAGAUAUCCAAACUCUUCUUACUUUAUAAAGUUAACUCCAAAUUAUAAGAUACUUGUUGAGCUUUUAUACCAUGAUAUAGAUGACAUUAAGGACUGAAUCUUUACUUGCAUACUUCAUAUGUGGCUUAAAUUGUCAGGCACUCAGUCUGUCAUUUCUCACUGCAGAAAAUUUUAUCAAACACAUUUUCCCUAGCAUUUUAUGAAAUUUAAUGGAAUGCAGCACUGCAACUGAAAUAUAAUACUGUCCAAAAGCCAUGUAUGACUUUAUAAUAUAUACUUUAUGGUAUCACUUAACUUUGUACAAUAACUUCACCUAUCUCCUUAAAGCUGGGAUUAAGGGAAAAAGAAUCAGUCAACAAGAAGGUAAGUUCACAGAAUUAUCAGCCAUAAUAGUGUAAAUUUGCCAUUAAAAUUAGAAAAAUAAAUAGAUGAAAUUUUUUUCAUUCAAAUUUUCAUAAAUUUUCUGAUGCAUAUGAACUUUCAAAGUUAAUUAAAAUGCUAUGAACUUAUAUUUUUAAAAACUUACUCUGCAGGCUCAACAAAAUAAUUAAAAUUGUAUUUUCUCUUAAGCACUGCUUUUUUUUUUUUUUUAAGGUAACAUUUCUAAGAGCAAGUUGGUUAAGCUCUCCAGUUUUCCUAUGACAGUAUGUUGUUUAGUUUAACCUACUAAUUCAAUCAGGCAUUUCUAUUGAUUCACCUGGAAAAGGGGAUACAACAGAACAUUUUUAAGAGGUCAUUUUAGCAGUUUUAUUCAACAGAUGCCAUAAAUUAACUACAUUCAGGAAAAAAAACUUAAACAAAGAACAAAGCCACCCUAUCUAGCAUUCUCUCACUCACAAAGAAGUAUCAAAGAUAUGUUUAUGUUCCAUUAACCGAGUAUGAAGCAAAAUCAUUAAAAUAUUACAACUGCUAAACACAGAAGACUAGAAAUCAAAUAGUUUCAUAUCCAGUAUACAGGCAUCAAAAACUUCAAUUUCCAGCUGUUUUUUUUUUCUAAUUCAUAUCAUGGAUUUACUUACAAGGAGCUUAUUCCUAUGGGAUUAAUUCAAUUACUCAAUGGUAAAUAGAUUUUAGCUCAGAAUUUUUAAAGGAUGACUUGCUUUAAGUUACUAUUCUACGUGCUGCUCUAUUUCUGCUCACACUUGCAUGUGGCCAAACAGAUCAUGCUCUGAUCAGAUAAGUAUACUGUAAUCUACUUAUAUGUUUAGGAGUUGGCAUAGGGUUAAAAGGCACAAAGCUGUAUUUUAGUACUCAUUUUUCUUAUUACUUAUUUGUAAAGGAACUUCUUUGGAUCCUGCUUAAAUGAUCACCAAGAAACUGCAAAUUUCUAUGGGGGAAAAUGUGAGUCCUCUUCAUAAAUUUUAGCAGCCCUUCAAGGACAUAUACAUCAAAAUUUGGUGGCCUUUAAAGUAUUGGAAUUUUAAAUGACAUAACUGCACUUUACUGUUGAAGACCCUUUUAGUUUAAUAUUUAUAGCCAUUUCCUCAUAUUUUCUUUAAAAUUUAUCAGUAUAGCAUUUCAUUUCUAUGCAUGUAUAUGUAUAGUAAUUCAUAAAACUAAAUAGCAAACUGAUAUUCUACACCAGUUCAUUUAUCUCAAUAUAUAUUUUGGAAUAUAACGGCAAUAUUAAAAAUAUCAAUUCCCUCUAAGCUGAUAAUACUAUAAGAUUUUACACAAAGUUAAAGUUUUUGUUUUUUCUUUUUGAAAAAGUUUCAUUGUUUAAAGUCCACAUAUUUGACACCUUGAUAAGGAAAAUGUAAAUGUGUCAUAUAACAUUUAUUCCAUCAAUUUAAACUGAAGUGUCUCAUGGAGCUAAACACUAAAAGAAUUUAAAUAAAAAAGCAGUAACCUGUAUGUACACAAAAUGAUCAUUCCAUAAAUAUUUACAUGACAAGGGAAAAAAUGGAGAAUCACUAAAACUGGAAAUUGCUACAGGUGUGAUAAUCCUUUCUCAUGACACUUUAGUUAGGAAUCAUGUAAGCUUUUAAAAUGAAAAUACUUGUAGAAGCGUUAACUAAAAUAUUCCAUUUUAGUUUUCAGUUACUAUUUAAAGGAGCCAGUAGGUCAUAAACAGUCCAAGAUUUCAGGAACCAACUAUUCAGUUUAGUUUUCAGUAUCAAAUCUUUUCCUUCAUCCCUCAUGAUGAAACCAAACUUACUUACAGAAAAAAUAAAGAGUACGCUAAAAGGUAUAAAUAAAAAUUCCAGUUCAUCCUCCUUUAUAAAGACUGGUAAGCCGCUCUAAUUCUUUACAGUUGUCCAUGCUCAAGGCAUCUGCCUUCCUUCGGAGUCGAUCAUCACGGUAUACUUUUGCUGCAUACUGCAUAUCUGUUUCUGUUAAUAAAGAAAAAUAUUUUGCUAAUUGAAUAAAAUUUUUGUCACCUAGUUGCUUAAGCUCAAGUGAUGCUUUACAGGAGCCCUUUGAUAUAUUUUGAUUAACUGACUUAAAAAAAAUCAAAGUACAAUUCCUAAAAGCCAUUUUAGUAGGAAAAAAAUUUUAAUGAAAACUUUAUUUGAAGUAUAGCAGGUAAAACAAACACAGAAAAUAAAUAAGGAUAGAAUCCUGUCAACUCACGUUGGAAUCCUUUCUCUCUACUCCUGUUCCCCAGUGGUUUAAAAACUAUUCCUCUGAAGCAUCAUCUUGGACUCUUUUCCUAAAAAUAUUAUAUGCUUUUCAAUACUGCCAGUGGUUGUUUCACUGUGGCCUUCUGUUAAGAUUUCAGAUUAUCCCAAGACUUAAGUAUUUAAUAAAAAAUUUAAAAUCUUGUUCUGAGUUUACUUAAAUUAAAAAAUACAUAUAAUAAUAUUACUGAAGGAACACAGAUAAAAAAAAUGCUUGUUAUACGAUCGUAAUAUUGCUAUUCAGCAAAUAAGUACUUCUGAGGCUUCCUUCAGUGUGUGGGACAGCACAGCUACUAAUGAUAUACAGACUACAAAUCAAAAUUCUUCAAGGAGUAUUUCUUGUUUUUUCCUGUUACUCUCAGUCAUUUCACUGUUUAUUAAUACCUGUAAAGACUAGGAGCACUUAAAGAAGAUGUAACAGAAAAAGAAAUCAGUUACUUUCUGGAACACAAUGGCCAAAGUAGAAGACAUCUGGUUUAUAUGGAUUAGUCAAGAUCACAUUCAAGAUAUACUCACAGUUAAGACAGUAUUCCAUUUGUAAAGAUCUCCAGAAAUAAUCUUUACUAAAUCAACUGGACUAGGAUUAACAACUCAAUCAAUAUUAUCCUAUGCCUUUUAUUUACACAUAAUGCGCUUAUAUCUAUUUACAGAUGACUCUUCCCAAAGAAGAAAUUUGAGACUUAGAUAAACCGAAGUUCACACUGCUAACGAAUGGCAGAGUCUAGAUUCCAGUCCAACUCUCCAAUGCCUAGCCUAAUAUUCUUUCCAUUAUUUCAAGUACUGCUUGGGCUGGAUAAUUUUUUUGUUGUGGGGGGUCUGUGCAUUGUAGGAUGUUUAGCAGCAUCCCUGGCCUUAACCCGCUAGAUGCUAGUAGCAAUCCCUUUCCAUUCCCAUCCCAUGAUGACACACAAAAGUAUCUCCAGACGUUACCAAACAUCUCUAGGGAUGGGUGGGGUGGGGGAAGGGUGGCAACUCACUCCCAGCUGAAAACAUAAAAAUCACUAGUCUAAUGUAAGCUUCUCCACACUGAGGACAGACUGAUUUCACAAACUCAUUGAGUUAGAAGUCAAAGAGGUCACAUCUCUAACUGCCACUAAAUAGAGGAGAAAACCAAGACCAGAGAGGUUAAGGACUCUCUUAGAAGUUACAUUUUAUCAACUUUUCCCUAGCAAGGGGGAGAUGAUGAUAAUUGCUGACAUUUUCUGAGCAUUCACUAUGUGUGAAGUACUUUAUUGCCUGAUUUAAUUUUCACAACAAACCCCAUAAAGUUGGUUAUUUCUGAGAAGACGUUGGAGCACAGGGCCUGGAUUCUAGAGACAAAUUGUCUGGUUUUCAAUCACAAACGACCUCUAUGACCUUGGGCAAGUUAGUAAUCUCUCUUUGCUUCAGUUUCUUCAUGUGUAAAAUAAGUAUAAUCUCACAGGGUUGUUGUGAAGAUUAAAUGAGUUAAUACUUACAAUGUGCUUGGGACAGUGACUGAAACAGGCAUUAUAUAAAUGAUAGCUAUUAUUUCCUCCUCCCACUCAUCAUCACCCAUUUUACACAUGAAACUCAUAGAGGUUACAAUUCGUCAGCUAAAAAUUUCAGAGCUAGGAUUCAACUUUACUCAGUUUAAUUCCAAAGUCAGUUCUCCUAACACUACACUAUAUGGUCUACAUUAUUAUUCACAACAAUGGUCACAAAAACAAGAACCACAACACUCAAUUCACAUGCAACAUCUCAGCAGAUUCUUAUAUCAAUCUUUAUAGAUGGAACUGUUCCUUAAAUUAAGAAAACUGAGGCUGGAAAAGCCUAAGCAAAUGAAGUGUUCUGAAGAGUCUCUCUGUGUACAAAGUAAAGAAAAAAGAAAUGUCAACAAAACUCAUUGUACAUUAAAUUCUAAAUACAAAAGCUAAAUUAAUAGAGUUUCAAACUUAACUCUGAAAACAGUAUGCAUCUUAAAAUUGAUGACAUAGUUUAUCUGCCAGGAUAUUUUUUGUUUCUUGGUGGUACAUAAAAGAAUGAUGUGUCUUAUGAUGGAUAUUAUCAAUACAAUAAAAUUUGGUAUUACUUAUUCAACCAAAUAUUUAUUGAUAACAAUAGACAAGUACCAUUUAUUAAGUCCUUACUAUGUGUCAAUUCCGAUGUUAGGCCACAUGUAUAUAAAACACAUGAUCUCAUUUAAGUACUGUGCUCCAAUUAUGUGCCAGGGAAUUCCAGAACAUUCCUUGAAUAGGGAAAUCUACAUUAAUCAGUUCCAAAGACUGCGAAUAAGUUUUAAAAUGUUAAACACAUGACAAACUUACUUUGUUGUCUUUCUUUCCAGCAGUUAUUUCGAAUAUUAGUCACAUAAUCUUCCUCCACACUCUUUUCUACCUUUUGUAAUAACAUUCCUUUAUAUUCAUUUUUGAAGUCCUUGUUGACAUAAUAAACAACACCCAAGUUUUCUGUUUGCAUUUUAAUAGUUUGCCCAGUUCCACUGUAAAAGAGAUGCAUCAUUAUUUUAAUUAAAAUUGGACAUUCCAAUAUGCUGCUAUAAACCAAGCAAACAAAAACAAUUAAAAAUCAUUGAAAAGUUAAUAUUGGUAAUACAGGUUGAGCAUCCCUAAUCCGAAACUCUGAAAUCCGAAAUGCUCUAAAAUCUAAGACUUUCUGAGCAUCGACAAGAUGGCACAAGUGAAAAAUUCCAAAGCUGACCUCAUGUGAUGGGUCACCUUUUAAUCAAAACACAGCAUCAUAGGUGGAAACUAAAAGCCUGUAGUUGUUUGUCGUUGCUAUUGUUUAACAGCUGACACGGGUAUUCUGGUGAUGCUAAUAUGCUGGUGGUUAUUUAAACCUGAAUACAUUAUUUUUUCACUGUUAAAUACUUAUAUGUGAAUUAGAGUAAGAAAAUUAUUGCUUAUCAGUAGCAUAUAAAUUCAGAGUCAGGAAUGAUGCCAAACAACCACAGGUUGUCCACAUGGGUGGCUGAGAUAGUGAUACCUUUGCUUUCUGAUAGUUCAAUGUAUACAAACUUUGUUUCAUGUACAAAGUGACUAAAAAUAUUGUAUAAAAUUACCUUC
rnacentral:lncRNA from 1 species